CCCUCCUUCCCUCCCUCCCUGUCUUUCUCUUUUCUCCCCACUUUCUCUCUCCAAAGCACAAUGCAACACACACACACACACACACACACCACACCCUUCCCACUCACUCUGCCAACAGACUAACUUCGCUCGUCCCCAGGGGCAGCCCUAUUGUAAACGUCCCUGCGGAGGAAUGCUCUUAGUCUCAGAUAUUUCAGGGCAUUCUCAUCCAGGGCCGUGCCCUUCCUCUCAGGUUUGGUUUUAGAAAGUGAGUGAGUGUAGAAAUAAGAAUCCAGCCAUCUUUCGGAGCACACCAGCCCAGAACUAGAGCCAAGUGCCUCUGCAGGAACCUACAGGGUUUCAGAACUGUAGGAUUCUGGAGCCCUAGUGGGCACAGCCCCACAAAGAUGCUGAGGGCACAUGAUGAACAGAGCCAGCAGGAUAGACUCUAGCAAGUGCUCUCUCACCGACUCCCUGUGAAGCUUCUUAGCUGCUCUGUGAACUGAUGCGUCCAUGAAGCUUCCAGUGUUGAAGCUGUGUGUGGUCUCUGCCAGGCCAGAAGAAGAUGUUGGAUCCCCUGGAACUGAGUUACUUGAUGUACUUGCUGGGAAGUGAACUGCUGUUCUCUGAAGAAGCAUCAAUUUCUAUUAACUCCUGAGCCUUAUUGCCAGCCCUCCAGAAGUCCUCUUAGUUCAAGCUCUGACAUCUUGGAAUCUCCACUUCAACCAAGGCUUCACUUUUACAACCUCACCACAAUGGCCUUUAAUGGCCUCACAUGGACUCCAACCCUGCCACACACUGCUGGCCUCAGUGGCUCUCUGAAACCAUGGAAGAAGAUUCAUGACCUCUUCACUCUUAUAUCUUUCAUGUCUUCAAAGCCAGCAUCACAUGGGUGAGCAAGUAUGGCUGCCAACUUAGCAUGGACCAUCACUUCCUCUGACUACAUUAAAUGCACCAGCUUUUAUGUUUUAGCAACCCCCUUUGAAAAUCUCAGCUGGGUGAAGUCUUACCCUGAGGCCACACUCUUCCCAAUGUUCCAAGAAGAACUAGUGGCCUCUCCUUAAUAAUUACAGCCUCUUUCAGCACAUGCCUUGGCUAUGUUCAGUUUCUUAGCACUCCGUUUCUCUCCAAACUGUGUAUUUUAUAUUUCUUUUUGUCCCACCUGCUCUUUUUCAUUAUAUAACUAUAUGAGUUAUCAGUAAUAACUAUGCCUCAGACUCAAUGUUUUGCUGUCUUGAAGUUUUCUCCAUUGGAGUCGGGGUUCAAGGCCCAUGCCCAGCCAAGAACCAAGAUAUCCU